GGUCCGGUAGCUCAGCAGGUAGAGCAGUGGACUGAAAAUCCACGUGUCGCUGGUUCAACUCCGGCCCGGACCACCA
rnacentral:tRNA from 1 species